rnacentral:rRNA from 1 species
UACGUAGGGUGCAAGCGUUAAUCGGAAUUACUGGGCGUAAAGCGUGCGCAGGCGGUUUUGUAAGUUUGUCGUGAAAGCCCCGGGCUCAACCUGGGAAUUGCGAUGAAGACUGCAAGGCUUGAAUCUGGCAGAGGGGGGUAGAAUUCCACGUGUAGCAGUGAAAUGCGUAGAUAUCUGGAGGAAUACCGGUGGCGAAGGCGGCAUCCUGGACCGACAUUGACGCUGAGUGAGCGAAAGCUAGGGGAGCAAACGGG